UUCCAGCUCCAAUAGCAUAUAUUAACGUUGUUGCAGUUGAAAAGCUCGUAGUUGAACUUUUGGUAGGAGCGACCUGGCCUUGGGCGCAUGCCCUUGUUUUGCCGUGUGUCGUAUCUGGCCAUCCUUUUCUUCUUCGGAAGGAAUCAUUUACUGUGAGUAAACUGGAGUGCUCAAAUCAAGACGUUUGUUUGGUACAUUAAAGCAUGGAAUAAUAAGAUAGGACCUGGUUACUAUUUUGUUGGUUUGCUUAGCUAGGUAAUGAUUAACAGGGAAAGUUGGGGGUAUUCGUAUUUAAUUGUCAGAGGUGAAAUUCUUGGAUUUAUGAAAGACGAACGACUGCGAAAGCAUUUACCAAGGAUGUUUUCAUCG
rnacentral:rRNA from 1 species